UUUUAGAAUAAAUAAAGUAAGUAUUUAAAGAAAAGAAAACUAAUUAUAACGGCGGUGCUGGACCCACCCAGAGGGCUCUGUGUUGUAAUCGAUAACCCACGAUUAAAUGAACCUUUGAAUUUACUUCUUAUAUCAUUGUUUUAAAAGAAGAGGAAGAAAUUUUCUUUCUAAAUUAAAUUCAGUAAACAAAUCAAGACAAGGGCAAAAUGAAGGGGGAGACGGAGCACAAAAAAUCAGGGGGUUGAAGAUACUUAGAACACAAAUUGAAAAAGAAUUUGGCAUUAAAUUUUAAACAAAAUAUAAAAUUGAAAUGGCAAUUCAGCAUGUACAUAUCGCCCGUCACUUUUACUUCUGUAAA
rnacentral:rRNA from 1 species